UUCUCAGCUAGGCUAAUGGCAUACAUACUCAAUGAAAUAUGGCCAUAGGCUUUGACAUAGCAGAUUUCCCUGGAGAGGCGAGGGAGAGAAGAGACUAGAUGAGUAGAAGAGUGGAGAGGAGAGAUGGGGGAGGUGAGAUGAGUAGAAGAGUGGAGAGGAGAGAUGGGGGAGGUGAGAUGAGUAGAAGAGUGGAGAGGAGAGAUGGGGGAGGUGAGAUGAGUAGAAGAGUGGAGAGGAGAGAUGGGGGAGGUGAGAUGAGUAGAAGAGUGGAGAGGAGAGAUGGGGGAGGUGAGAUGAGUAGAAGAGUGGAGAGGAGAGAUGGGGGAGGGGAGAUGAGUAGAAGAGUGGAGAGGAGAGAUGGGGAG